rnacentral:tmRNA from 1 species
GGGGACGUUACGGAUUCGACAGGGAUAGAUCGAGCUCAGGUUGCGCGUCGAGGUUACGACUCGUAAAACGUUAUUCGCCUAAAUAUAACUGGCAAAGAAAACAAUUACUCUUUAGCAGCAGCGUAAGCUCUGCUAAAGGAUCCUUCCUGCUAUUGCCCGUGUAGCAGAUAGAAGGGUCUCAAAUGAAGCGGGCUAUACGGUCAUCCACCGUCUGAGGAUGGUCGUUGAAUUAAAUCAGACUAGCUUUCUCACAGCCUGUUGGUAGGCCUAGAGAUAAGCGAAUGAUAAUAUACCAACUAUGCGUGUAGAAGCCUGAGUGGCGAUAUCUCUGGACGUGGGUUCGAUUCCCACCGUCUCCACCA